UAGGAUAGGUGGGAGGCUUUGAAGUGUGGACGCCAGUCUGCAUGGAGCCGACCUUGAAAUACCACCCUUUAAUGUUUGAUGUUCUAACGUUGGCCCCUAAUCGGGGUUGCGGACAGUGUCUGGUGGGUAGUUUGACUGGGGCGGUCUCCUCCUAAAGAGUAACGGAGGAGCACGAAGGUUGGCUAAUCCUGGUCGGACAUCAGGAGGUUAGUGCAAUGGCAUAAGCCAGCUUGACUGCGAGCGUGACGGCGCGAGCAGGUGCGAAAGCAGGUCAUAGUGAUCCGGUGGUUCUGAAUGGAAGGGCCAUCGCUCAACGGAUAAAAGGUACUCCGGGGAUAACAGGCUGAUACCGCCCAAGAGUUCAUAUCGACGGCGGUGUUUGGCACCUCGAUGUCGGCUCAUCACAUCCUGGGGCUGAAGUAGGUCCCAAGGGUAUGGCUGUUCGCCAUUUAAAGUGGUACGCGAGCUGGGUUUAGAACGUCGUGAGACAGUUCGGUCCCUAUCUGCCGUGGGCGCUGGAGAACUGAGGGGGGCUGCUCCUAGUACGAGAGGACCGGAGUGGACGCAUCACUGGUGUUCGGGUUGUCAUGCCAAUGGCACUGCCCGGUAGCUAAAUGCGGAAGAGAUAAGUGCUGAAAGCAUCUAAGCACGAAACUUGCCCCGAGAUGAGUUCUCCCUGACUCCCUGAGAGUCCUGAAGGAACGUUGAAGACGACGACGUUGAUAGGCCGGGUGUGUAAGCGCAGCGAUGCGUUGAGCUAACCGGUACUAAUGAAC
rnacentral:rRNA from 1 species